rnacentral:lncRNA from 1 species
UCUCAAGGACCCAUAUAAUGGGGACUGAACUUUCCCUUCUUGCCAAACUGCACUACUCCCUUCAUGGGAGAUACCUUGAGGAAAAUCUUAUGCCCAACAUACGUAUAGGACUUUUAGCAACUUUGGGCAGCUUUAAGCCACUCCUAAAUCACCUUCACCUUCCACAUAGCCUGGUAAACAAAGUUGGUACCAAACAUGUCCGCCUCUCCAAGAUCAAACCAACUAAUA